rnacentral:rRNA from 1 species
UACGUAGGAUGCAAGCGUUGUCCGGAAUUAUUGGGCGUAAAGAGCGCGCAGGCGGUCUGCCAAGUCAGAUGUGAAAGAGGCCGGCUUAACCGGCAAGGGUCAUUUGAAACUGACAGACUAGAGUGCAGCAGAGGAUAGCGGAAUUCCCGGUGUAGUGGUGAAAUGCGUAGAUAUCGGGAGGAACACCUGUGGCGAAAGCGGCUCACUGGACCAUAACUGACGCUGAUGCACGAAAGCUAGGGGAGCAAACAGG